GAUUGCAAGUUUCCUGAGGCCACCCAGUCCUGCAGAACUGAGAUUUUUACACCUAUCUGUGAUGCUAUCUUGUGACCAUGAGGAGUGCUAAGCUGAAUCAGAAAUCCCUCAUGCUGAGGACAGCACAAUAAAGACUUUGGGACUUAGCGGUUUUAACCAGUCACUGAGUUAACAAACCCUGGAACAAUCCCACCUCAAGACUUCAGGUUCCAUGAUGUCACAGGGUGAUUUUCCUGGGAAGCAAAUGCUGAGAUGGAGUUUAGUUCACAGGACGAUUCUUAAGGAGUGUCUUAUGGAAGGGAGGAGAAGAAAGCAGAACUAGGCAGAAGAAAUGAAGCUGUGAGUUACCUGUCCUGCUGAUGUCAGACCCAGCACCAGGUGCAGAAGCAACCAUCAUACAAAAAUUAAGCUUUCUUAAUUACGUAAGUCAAAUUCUUGUA